UCAACGCGAACAGCACCAGUACAACUUGAAUUUUGUGAAGAGUUAGGAGCAUAUGCCUUGUACGUAACGGAUUCUCCAUCGGGGGCCAAUGUCUAUGACCCAAAUGCAGGCAUAAAGGGCUAUACCGCUUAGCAUCGGUCAUUCAUUGCUGCGUGCGUCUCAGCGUCUCACAGAGAGUGUGGAGUGUUUUCUCUAUGAGCAGUCUUGGAAUUAUUUACUGUCUUAUGCGUUACAGUGUGCCUCGGUGGCAGAACUUGGCCAAUGAGUUACAGAGGCCGGAAGACACAGAAAGGAACAAUAUCAAGACACCGGUAGCCAUUCACAAGACGUGAAGGAGCGUGAGGAUACAGUUGCGUCGGUUUCAUGCAAGAUGCCAACUAAUUAUACGGCGAGUAACAUGGAUGUUU